UCCCCCACCCUCCUUCUGCCCCCAACUCGCCUCUUCCCGUCCCUCUCUGUCGCCACUAUAUACGAGUAAAAAGUUUCAACAAUCACUGAACUUCCGUUUGCUGCUAUAAUGUCACGUUGUGGUCACUGAACUUCCGUUUGCUGCUCAACGGUCACUGAACUUACAAACACCACUCCAUCCAUCACUCACCACAAAGUCGUUUGAAAUUGUCUGAUCUGGCCUUGACGGAAUUCCAUGUUGCAUUCAACGACGUCAAAAGUGAUACACGAUGGACUUGUUUAAGAUUACACAACUCUAACCCAUUCAAAAUUGAAAACCAAUUUCCCUAAUUCACUCUCCCAUGAACCCUAAUUCAAUCUCCCCCAAUUCAAAAUCCUGGAUCGAACAUAGAGUCACUUGCCAGAAGUUCUUCGUCUUCCAAUGUACACCAUCCCCAGCUGCAGAUGAUUAUCAACCGAUAAAAUCUGAACCCACGUCCAGUUACCUAAACGUUAAAAACUCGAAGAAGGAAACCAGAGGAGCCCAACCAACUGCGAACGGUGAAGAUUAGGAUAUUAUGUGGUGUCGAACAUAAUGAUUCGAAGAGGCUGAUUUUUGUAUCAAAAUCAAUAAAAGAUGCGACUCUGAUUGCAAAACAGUGGCAUUUUGCAUAUAGGAAAACUGUUGGGUUCCAGAAUGUGGAGGAUUUGGGUGAGUUCAAUGACAUUGAGGCAUGGACGAAGCAACAAAAAGUUUCCAAACUUAGCUUAUAAAAGAAAUCUACCAAGUGAUCACAUUACGUUGUAUUAAGCUUCAUGUUGCAUUUCAAUUCCAAGUAGUAAGGCAAAAACAAGGGAUAUAGAAUCAAGGAAGCUUAGGAAAGAUAUAUGUAGACACUGUGGGGAGAAGUUGUUGGGGUCUCGUCUUGAGGCAUGAACAAUAUGCUGUCCAAUGUGUGGUGCUACUACAAUACUUCAAAUACUACGACAGCUGGUCCCUCUUCUCGCACAUGGACGGGCGUUACCUACAAGGGACAUCGAUACUGAUGAAGAUUGUGAAAAAGGGUGUUAAUGUUUUUGUGGAUAAGGGUGUUGAUAACUUUGUAGUGUCAAAGUAAUGUACAUGUAUUUUUUAUGGUGUUUUCAGAUGUCAAACAACUAAAGUUUUUAGGCGAACACUCACUUUGAAUGCUGAUUUGUUUUUCCAUUGACUAAGUUCCUUUUUUGUGGCUUCUA